AACCCUAAUUUAAACUCGAAUUCGAGCCCAAACCCAAAUCACCUCUUGUUUUCCGUCCUGUACUGAUCCGUUCGCGGAAGAGCAGAAGCGGGAGCAGACAUGCGGACGGCUGAGGAAGCCGAGCAAGAGCGCGCUGUCUUCGAGGACGAAGAGGACUCCACUUCCGGGAGCGACGACAGCGAAGACGACAACGAUGGCAACGGCCGGGCCCCGCCGCCGCCUCCGCCGAUGCAAUGUCAGACGGUGCCGCUCGCCGGCAAUGUUGUCCCUUUGGCCUCCUCCCAUCAUGUCGGAGACCCUAACCCCAACCGUAUCCCUAAUACCUCCGGUCCUGCCGCCGCCGCUGCCGCCCCCCAGAACGGCGCGAACCCGGUCGUUCGUGUCUCUGCAGCCAUCUCCACUCCUUCCGGCGCUGGCCUCUUCAUUUCAUCCUCCUCUGUUCCAGUCUCCGUCGCCACUGCCUCCGAGGAGAGGAGGUCCCUCGCCGUCGUCUCCUUCGAUGAGUCCCGCCGGCUUUUCCAGCGACUUUGGACUGACGAGGAGGAGAUCAAGAUCCUCCAGAGGUUCUUGGGGUUCACCUCGAGGCGAGGUACCACCUUCGCCUCCCACCAGUACGACACCGGCCCCUUCUAUGAGGAGAUAAAGAAGCAGCUCCACUUUGAGUUCACCAAGAACCAGCUUAUUGAAAAGCUCCGCCGUCUGAAGAAGAAGUAUCGGAACUGCGUCAGUAGAAUGCGGUCCAUGGGAAAAGACUUCGCCUUUAAGGGCACCCACGAGCGGGCCAUCUAUGACAUCGCUCGCAACAUCUGGAGCGCAAGCGUCAAGAGGGCCCACGAGAGCGAUGACGAGGACCUGAAUGCCCCAAGCGCCAUCAUGUCCAACGAGAUUAUUACGGUUCCUAUUGAUGAGGGUCCUUUGAGUUCUGGUAGAACGAUCUCGAGAUCAAGAAGGCACUUGAGAAGAAGGGUGACUGAAGGGACUGCAGCUGCGGUUGCAUUUGGGGGAGUUGGCGUGGAGAAUUCCACCUCGGUGAUGCACACACCUUUUGCUUCGGCAUCCAAUGUGCCAAACAUCAUAGAGGAGACAGUGAAGAGCUGCCUCGUGCCGCUGUUUAAGGAGCUGAUAAAUUCCAUUACUGGGGGGCCUCUGGGUUCAGGAUUUAGUCCAGGGACAUCACCAUUGAACCUGCUGCCUCUGAGCCUUGAAGGUAGUUCUUUGAUGGCUCCAGGGAUGCCUGUGGAUGACAAUUGGAGAAAGCAGCAGAUUCUGGAACUGGAGAUUUACUUGAACCGGCUAGAUCUUGUAUGGGACCACAUCAAGUUGACAUUGGAUGAGCUCAAGUCUGCAGGAAGCUGAUUAAAGAUGACUUACUUUCUGUAGAAGCAAGGGAAUAGGACUGUGAUUGCAAAGCUUUUCUUCAUAGACACUCAGAUAGAAGACUGGGUAGACAACCAUUAUUGUCUGACCGGAGACAGGCUUUCUUGCUUGCAUCGACUCUGUUGGCAUUUGUCAAAGGACCAUGGACAUUGAUGCUUCAAGAUAGAUAUGGAAAUUUUGAAUCUCCCAGGUAUUUUCCUUGGACUGGAAAUUUUUAGGUACCUGUUAACUGUGAGUAUUUUGCCAAGGAUAUAAUUGUCAUUCCCUUUUCAGAAUAGAGAGCUUAAUGUGAAAAAGAAAAAAAUCA